UUAACGCUGGCGGCAUGCCUUACACAUGCAAGUCGAACGGCAGCACGGGAGCAAUCCUGGUGGCGAGUGGCGAACGGGUGAGUAAUACAUCGGAACGUGCCCAGUUGUGGGGGAUAGCCCGGCGAAAGCCGGAUUAAUACCGCAUACGACCUACGGGUGAAAGCGGGGGAUCGCAAGACCUCGCGCUAUUGGAGCGGCCGAUGUCGGAUUAGCUAGUUGGUGGGGUAAAAGCCUACCAAGGCUACGAUCCGUAGCUGGUCUGAGAGGACGACCAGCCACACUGGGACUGAGACACGGCCCAGACUCCUACGGGAGGCAGCAGUGGGGAAUUUUGGACAAUGGGCGCAAGCCUGAUCCAGCCAUGCCGUGUGCGGGAAGAAGGCCUUCGGGUUGUAAACCGCUUUUGUCAGGGAAGAAACGGUUUGGGCUAAUAUCCCGAACUAAUGACGGUACCUGAAGAAUAAGCACCGGCUAACUACGUGCCAGCAGCCGCGGUAAUACGUAGGGUGCAAUCGUUAAUCGGAAUUACUGCGCGUAAAGCGUGCGC
rnacentral:rRNA from 1 species